GGUAACGGAGAAUUAGGGUUCGAUUCCGGAGAGGGAGCCUGAGAAACGGCUACCACUUCCAAGGAAGGCAGCAGGCGCGCAAAUUACCCAAUCCGGAUUCCGGGAGGUAGUGACAAGAAAUAACAAUAGUUCGGCUCAUGUCAAACUAAUUGGAAUGAGUACAAUUUAAACAUCUUGACGAGGAACAAUUGGAGGGCAAGUCUGGUGCCAGCAGCCGCGGUAAUUCCAGCUCCAAUAGCGUAUACUAAAGUUGUUGCAGUUAAAAAGCUCGUAGUUGGAUUUCUGUGUGAGAGGGACGGGAAGGCGCAAGCGUUUUUUCUGACCUUUUGCACAUCCUGUCAUAAACCUCGGUGCUCUUUAUUGUAGUGUCGUUGGGGAGUGACUCGUUUACUUUGAGAAAAAUAGAGUGUUCAAAGCAGGGCAUCCCUCUGAAUAAGUUAGCAUGGAAUAAUGAUAAAGGACUUCGGUUCGUUUUGUUGGUGUUUAGGACUGAAGUAAUGAUUGAUAGGGACAGUUGGGGGCUUCAGUAUUCAAAAGCGAGAGGUGAAAUUCUUAGACCUUUUGAAGACUAACCGCUGCGAAAGCGUUAGCCAAGGAUGUUCCCUUUGAUCAAGAACUAAAGUUUGGGGAUCGAAGACGAUCAGAUACCGUCGUAGUCUGAACUAUAAACUAUACCAGCUAGGGAUCGGCCGGCGUAAUGUUUAAGGACUCGGUCGGCACCUUAUGAGAAAUUAAAGCAUUUGGGUUCCGGGGGGAGUAUGGUCGCAAGGCUGAAACUUAAAGGAAUUGACGGAAGGGCACCACCAGGUGUGGAGCCUGUGGCUUAAUUUGACUCAACACGGGAAAACUUACCAGGUCCAGACAUAGUAAGGAUUGACAGAUUGAGAGCUCUUUCUUGAUUCUAUGGGUGGUGGUGCAUGGCCGUUCUUAGUUGGUGGAGUGAUUUGUCUGGUUAAUUCCGUUAACGAACGAGACCCCAGCCUGCUAAAUAGCGGACGUAAGGUUUUCCUUGCGGGGCGCUUCUUAGAGGGACCAUAGACUUCGUCUACAGACUAGGGAAGUUUGGGGCAAUAACAGGUCUGUGAUGCCCUUAGAUGUUCUGGGCCGCACACGGGCUACACUGACGCCUGCAACGAGCAUAUCAGCUGGUCCGAAAGGAUCUUUGGCUAAUCUUUUGAACUUGCGUCGUGCUAGGGAUUGACUAUUGCAAUUGUUAGUCAUGCAACGAGGAAUACCUUGUAAACGCGAGUCAUCAACUCGCAUUGAAUACGUCCCUGCCCUUUGUACACACCGCCCGUCGCUUCUACCGAUUGAAUAUUCCCAUGAAAUCUUCGGAGGAGUCCGAUGAAUUGGGCUUGCCCAAGGAAUCGGCUUCCAAAGUCGUUUAAAUCGGAACAUUUAGAGGAAGGAGAAGUCGUAACAAGGUUUCCGUAGGUGAACCUGCGGAAGGAUCAAUGACNCAACUGGAACUCCGGUUCCACANAAACUUUACCCCGCGUAUGUUUGUUUUACAAAUUCAUUCACCAAAGCCACCCGCUAGGGGGGGACUGCUCGGCUCUGGGCUGCUUUUAUUAGUGGUCUCAGUUAAGGGCGCCCCUCCGCUUUUACCCCUCACGCACCCCCUAAACCCGCGAAUCGACUGAUGGAAGCAACUGCCUCGUGCCGUUGCAACCUAUUAAAAAUUAUUUUUUUCAUACCCGAAGAAAAUAUCUUUCAACGAUGGAUCUCUUGGUUCCCGCAACGAUGAAGAACGCCGCGAAACGCGAUAUGUAAUGUGAAUUGCAGGAUUAAGCGAAUCAUCAAAUCUUUGAACGCAAAUUGCGCUCAGUCUUCGCGACUGAGCAUACCUGGUUCAGUUUCGUUUUGCCUCGGCAACCCGCCUCGCAGCGGGCCUAUAGAGGAGAAUUGGGCGUUGACGUGCCUUCCCGGCACCCAUCGCUUUAAAAACCCAUCGGGGUUGUCGCGUCGUUUCGGUCUGAGCCCGUUCGAUGCGCCAAGGUAAUUUAUUACUAAGGCGUGUAUGUCGGCGGCGCCUCGCGUUACACCAGCGGAACCUACAAAAAAAAAACUUGACUUUAGCUUGAACUGAACUCAGGGAAGAAGACCCGCCGAAUUUAAACAUAUUACUAAGCGGAGGAAAAGAAACUAACAAGGAUUCCCCUAGUAACGGCGAGUGAAGUGGGAUCAGCUCAAUAUGAAAAGCUGCCGCCUUUGGCGGUCGCCUUGUAACCUUGCGGUGGGGCAAUUGCGGGGAGACGGGUGCAAUUCGUCGUUGAGAUAGCGAGUCGCAGAGGGUAACAACCCCGUGCUGUCCGACUCU
rnacentral:rRNA from 1 species